ensembl:lncRNA
CCUCACCAGAGCUGAGGAGAGGGGAAGGAUCACCUCCCUUGGCCUGCUGGCAACACUUCUAAUGCAUCCCAAAAAUUCCCAUUAGCCUUUUUUGCAGAACUACGUGUAGAGCCCACACUUUUAACUUUGUUAGUAUAUUUAAGCCAUCGAAGCUAUUAUAAUGAGGAGUUCCUAAAGACACCAGCCAGCCUUACUGUCCAGGCUCCCCUGGGGCCUCCUCAGCCCUGCCCGUGCACACAGGACCCCAUUUCAGCUCAUCCCAGAACUGUUGUCCCAUAGGAGACAACAAGUAAGUGCCCAUAGGGGUGGCAGUUUGCAGCUGUGGCCCCACUUGCUCCUGUCUGGGGUCACCUCAGCUCCUACUUGUCCCCCUUCUAAGGCAGGCUGCUUUUGCUGCUUCCUAAAAAUAAUUAAGCAUUUUGAACAAGUGCUGUUAUCUUCACUUACUAAACAUUGGUAACAAAUUGUUUAAAAUAGUGAGAAUUUUUUUCAUAUUAGUAUAAAGAAAGGGAGGAAGAAAUUUUUGUUUUGCAAAAGCUUAAUCAUUCUUUUUCAUUUUCUUUGAUUACUAGGUUGAUAUUUAGAUUAGCAACUAAUUCUGGCAUAUCUCAUAUUAUGGUGUGACCGACCAAUAGACCCCUACAAUGGAAGAAGGCUCAGAGGAAAUGGCCAAUGUGCCCAAAAAGCUCAGGCAAUAAUGUAAGGUGUGACUGACCAAAGCUGUUGCAAAGAAAGCUGACUUUGUAUCGACAUAGAGGGAACUGGAUGGUGGCCUUUGCUUUAGAUAAACAGCUAUGUCAUUUGAGUGGAGCAGCUAGCGGUGUAAAAGUUUCUUCCUGACUUCAUUAAAAGGCUGUGAAUAUCUCCCUGAGUUAACCAGACGGUAUGAAGGUAGUAUACUUGGCUCAGCCCAACAUAGAGUAUAAAAACAGGACAACUAGCAGAAGAAUUUUUAAGAGAGCAAUGGGUUUGAGCUGUUUUCAACACAUGUAUUCCUUCCUGGUGACUGGGAACAGCCGGUAUCAUGAUGGCUCAUCAGAGUUAUGGCUCCUGACUUAGAGAGUAUUAAUCACCACUGGGAGAGCACCACCAGGGUAAAGUGACAACGCCGACACACUUCUGCUGCUGUGUUUUAUGAAGAAGGUCAGUAUUACCUUUAUUGCAUUGGCAUUUGUAAGACAGCAAUUCUACACUUAGAUUUUUUGAAGUGUCAAGGACAUGAAUCUAUUAACUGGGUAUGUGAAGACUGCCUCAAAUUUCCUUGCAGAACUUUUUAUUAAGAUAUGUACACAUCUUUGUUGUACCUACAUGUGAUCUAGGAACAAUAGUAGUUUCACAGAUCUAUUAGAUUGCUAAAAGUGACAUUAUGAUUAACUCUACACAUUUUUUUUGUUUCUUUCAUUAAUGUUUGAAUUGCUAGAAUCAUACCCACUGAUACACCGGUAAAUGAAAAGGUAGGUACAUCUAGCAACUUGACAUUCACAUCAGGGAAAAGGUAUUGCCUACAUUAGACAUGUAUACUCUUUACUUAUAUUUAGCCUGACUGAACAUCUAGCUGCAGCAAUAUAAAAUUAACAUGAAAAUAAAGUCCUGGAUUAUGUUUAUGAAUGAAAUAGG